UACGUAGGGUGCGAGCGUUAAUCGGAAUUACUGGGCGUAAAGCGUGCGCAGGCGGUUUUGUAAGCCAGAUGUGAAAUCCCCGGGCUUAACCUGGGAACUGCGCUUGUAACUGAGAGGCUAGAGUGUGGCAGAGGGGGGGUGGAAUUCCACGUGUAGCAGUGAAAUGCGUAGAAGAUCGGGAGGAACACCGGUGGGCGAAGGCGGGUCCUCUGGGCGAUCGUCCUGACGCUGAGGCG
rnacentral:rRNA from 1 species